rnacentral:lncRNA from 1 species
GCGAGGUCGUGUACUUGUUGAAUUAGCUGCUAAUUGUUGUUUUGUACUUAGUCAUAGCUUUUCUUGCUUAUUAUGCCUCCGUCUCCUACUGUUCAUUGUUGAUAUAUGAUAUUACUUCUCUUUGGGUUGUUUAUAUGAUUUCUGAGAUCCCGAGAGACUAGAGAGAUUGAUGACUGAGUGAGGCCGAGGGCCUAAGUGUGAGGUUAUUGAUACUAUAGCACGUGAGUUGUCCGUGCGGAUCCAGAUAUUAUUAUAGCACGUGAGUUGUCCGUGCAACACGUGAGUUGUCCAUGCAGUUUAUAGCGCUUGGGCUGAAGGAGCCCCUCCGGAGUCUGCACACCCUCAAUGAGCGCAGUCAACUAUAUAUAUGGAUCGGGCUGCACGCAGCGGUUAUUAUAAGGUACCUGCUGAGUGUGAGUGAUGAUUGAUGAGAGUUGAGCCAUGAGGGACUGGGAGGCUUGCCCGAUGGGCUAUAUAUACAUACAUACGAGUGAUGCUUUGCCCGAGGAGCUUGUUUUGUGAAAUUACUCUCUUCACUCAUCUUUAUACUGAGCCUCUAUUAAAAACAUUAAACAAAUAUUUUGAACAACUUUCAUUGAAACUGGAUUUUUUACGAGAUGAUUGGAAUUAAAUUACUGAUUUGGUUUUGUUAUUUCCACUGAGAUUUUUAAGUUAUGAGAUAAGCUGAGUGACUGUUGCCUUGAGAGGAUGUAUUUGUUUUCAGUUAAUUGCUGCACUUAAUUGCUAUUUAUCCUUGUCGUACAUAUUUAUGGAGUAUUUGAUAUCUGGUUUAUUUGAGUACGCACUGAUGAGACUUAAACUGUUAAAUUGAAAGUAUGACUAUUCUUGUUGAAAGUUAUUGAGAUAACUGUAUUUUCAUAACUCGUCACUACUUCUCAGUUCCUUAUUUAUUUCUGUUACUUACUGAGUUGGUGUACUCACGUUACCUCCUGUACCUCGUGUACAUAUCCAGGCACUUCUGGUCACGGAGGUUGUUGAUUGAGGAGUCCAACUCAGGAGACUAUUGAGGUAGCUGCAUAGCAUUCAUUGACCAUGACUCUCAUGUCCUUUCAUGUUGUACUGUUCUAUAUUUCAGACAGUGUUUUAUCAGUCGGAUGUUGUUAUCAUUUAGAUGUUCAUGCACUCAGUGACACCAGGUUUUGGGGAUGGAUUGUUUAGUACUUUUGGAGUGAUAUUUUGUU